AGAGUUUGAUCCUGGCUCAGGAUGAACGCUGGCGGCGUGCCUAACACAUGCAAGUCGAGCGAGGACUUCGGUCCUAGCGGCGGACGGGUGAGUAACGCGUGGGUAACCUGCCCUAUACACAUGGAUAACAUACCGAAAGGUAUGCUAAUACAAGAUAAUACAUUGAUAAGGCAUCUUAUUAAUGUCAAAGCUUUAGCGGUAUAGGAUGGACCCGCGUCCCAUUAGCUAGUUGGUGAGGUAACGGCUCACCAAGGCCGCGAUGGGUAGCCGACCUGAGAGGGUGAUCGGCCACACUGGAACUGAGACACGGUCCAGACUCCUACGGGAGGCAGCAGUGGGGAAUAUUGCACAAUGGGCGAAAGCCUGAUGCAGCAACGCCGCGUGAGCGAUGAAGGCCUUCGGGUCGUAAAGCUCUGUCCUAAGGGAAGAAUACUUGACGGUACCUUAGGAGGAAGCCCCGGCUAACUACGUGCCAGCAGCCGCGGUAAUACGUAGGGGGCUAGCGUUAUCCGGAAUUACUGGGCGUAAAGGGUGCGUAGGCGGCCCAACAAGUCAGAGGUGAAAGGCUACGGCUCAACCGUAGUAAGCCUUUGAAACUGUAGGGCUUGAGUGCAGGAGAGGAGAGUAGAAUUCCCAGUGUAGCGGUGAAAUGCGUAGAUAUUGGGAGGAAUACCAGUUGCGAAGGCGGCUCUCUGGACUGUAACUGACGCUGAGGCACGAAAGCGUGGGGAGCGAACAGGAUUAGAUACCCUGGUAGUCCACGCCGUAAACGAUGAGUACUAGGUGUCGGGGGUUACCCCCCUCGGUGCCGCAGCUAACGCAUUAAGUACUCCGCCUGGGAAGUACGCUCGCAAGAGUGAAACUCAAAUGAAUUGACGG
rnacentral:rRNA from 1 species